rnacentral:lncRNA from 1 species
CACCUUUUACUAUCAUUUCUUAUCCUAUUUGAAGACAAAUGAGUAAAGGUAGAAAAGCAAAAUAAUCCUGGUAAUUAGUGGUUUCGUGAUUUCACAUUAUCAAAGGGUCCCUGCACUCAGGAGAUGUUCCAGCAUUGGUGGUUCCCUCGUACCAUUGGAGCCCAGACUCGAGCCACACAGUUCAUGGGGGAUAUGGUUCCAGGAUCCGUUAUGAUGAUG